CCAAUCACCGUUUGUGCCGGAGGUAAGAGGAGGCGAUCGUACAUGGAGAUAAGGCUAGAACCCUAUGGUUUUAUCCAGAAUGCUCGGAAUCUGUUAUCCAGAAUGCUCAGGACCUGGGUAUUUCCAGUUUGACUGUGGAAGAAACCCGAGCAGCAGAUAUUACUAGCAGUUUCUGACAAGAUUUCCUCACACCUAUGAUGGAAAAAAAGGUUCUUUUUUUUCACCUUCUGUCUAUUUUCCACUCCAUUCUUUCCAUUCUCCACAGUUUGUAUCAUAACGAGGAAGGAAAAUGUGUUGAAUAUAAAGCUCAGCGUUCAAGUUAAUUGGUGUUCAUGAAACUGGCAGAUCUACAAUUUGUACGAGCUGCUGUGCGCGGCUUUAAAAACUCUAAAGGCUUCGAAGGAGUUAUGCAAUAUGACAAAAUAUAGUACCUGCGGGGUGUCCAUCUGCUAUAAAAUGAUUUUCACAGCUAAUCAAUUAGGAAAAAAAAGUCAUUGCUUCAGUAGAGUCAGUGCAGCAAGGAGAAUGAAUGCACUGCGUUCCAUGUCAAGUAAUGAAGUGAUAUUACACACAGUGCAUUUUAAUAGCUUCAGCAGUCCCUCAUCUGAGUGCAUUCUUAAUAGAUGCUCUACGCACACUGCCAAGUUGGCUGCUUGGAUGAAAUAUCAAUGAGCAUCAUGUAAGAGCUUUUGUUAGUCUAUCCGAUGAUACUUUCAGGGAAGACAUGUGUGUUAAAAGUCCACGGUGCAAAAUGAAGAGCAUAUCAUGUAUGGCACAAUCUUCAACACCUUCAUUUAUUUUUACGAAUAAAAAAACAGUUGUUUUCUGGUCAAGCCAACAUAAGUAGCGAUGGGUGAAUUUGUCCCGUUUCACUUAUUUAUGAAUUUCCUGCGAAUUUCAUGAAAUGGGGAAAAAUUUAUGAAACGCAAAUUUUGACGCUGGCGUCAAUUCACAGACCUCAAAAUUGACACACAUUAAAGUCAAUCGGCGUCCCUUUACUUGUGCCCAGCGUCGGAAUUGUUGCAGACGUCAAAAACAUUGACGCCGCCGAAUUUUCAGCAGUUAAUUUUCGCAGCAAUUUUGCGAAUUUAUUAGCCUGGCAGUGAAAGAAAUUUGUCGCUAAUUCGAGCCUGACGAAAAUUUACCCAUCACUACAUAUAAGCCAUUAUUUACGGCAUCAUAUAUUUCAUUGUAUUUAAUUCCAUUAGGAGAUUCCAGUCUAAUGCAGUAACUAAUAUAGUUAAAAUAUGCAAAAGCUAUGCAUAUGCACCAAGAACUGUAUAUAUAUAUAUAUAUAUAUAUAUAUAUAUAUAUAUAUAGUUCUUGGUGAUAUCAUCAGUUAUAAUCUGUACAGUGAUGUAAUUUGUAUGCCUACAGUUUUGUGAUUUAAUCAGGGCAUGGAUCUCCUUGUUGACUCCUAAUAUACUUUAGAUUAGGGGGGUAUAUUAUUUCCUUUCUUAUACAGGUAUGGAAUCCGUUAUCUGGAAACCUGUUAUCUAGAAAGCUCUGAAUUACCAAAAGGCUGUCUCCCAUAGACUCCAUUUUAUCCAAAUAAUCCAAAUUUUUAAAAAUUAUUUCCUUUUUCUCUGUAUAAAACAGUACCUUGUACUUGAUCCAAACUAAUAUAUCAUUCAUUUUUACUGGAAACAACACCAGCCUAUUGGGUUUAUUUAAUUAAGAUCUCAAAUUCAUGUAAAAAUGUUUUGGUAAAAAAAAAAGCAAAUAUUCUAACUGCUAGAAAGACAUCAUCAUUGAAAGUAAUAUAUUCCAGAGUAUUACAAAACUGUCAUGUGGGAUCAAAAUGUACUUUAACUACCUUUAGAAAAUGUGCAUAACUCAUCAACCAAUCAAUUAACCUUGCUUUGGACAUCAUGAGCAGAACAAUCAAGGCCCAUCAGCAUCAGGUUCCUGACACUAAUUUCCCAGUUCCACUUUACCCUGCCCAACAAACCUCAGAGGUCAUAAUAAUAGCACUCAGUAUAACGUCUCUGUAAUUGACUGUAGCAUGGCUGUCAGGCUGGAUGUGCAGUUGGGUACUACACUGGCAAAGCUUAUAAAAUAUUUGAAUACAAGCAUUUAAAAUAAAUCUCCCCAUUCCAGUAAUACAGUUGGACAGUUCCACAGAGUAAGAAUGGAAAUGUGGACUGAUUUCUAGAACACAAUACCUGUGCAACCAACCAAGAUCAAAUGCACUGUUACUUUGGGGGCAACGUAUAUCUGAAUUUAAAAGACCUAAGACUCAGGAGUCUGUUCUUCCUCAUUAGAAUACACUAUUGAGCAACAACCGUUUUGUAAUUCAUAGAAGGAGAAAAUAUGCAUUGAAACAAAACUUUCAAAGUAAAUGAUAAGACAGAGAAAUAUUUUGUCAUAUUAGGAACUAAAGAGUGAUUGACAGAACUUUGAAACUAAAAAAAAGUCUUUACAGGAAUAAUGUUCCUUAUCCGUAAACCUGUUAUCCAGAAAGCUCCCAUUAGGUGAAGCUAUCUUCCAUUGUUUACAUAUUAAGCAAAUAAUAUUAGUAAUAAAUAUUAUUGCAAUAAUAAAACAGUACUUUGUUCUUGAUGGCAACUAUGCUGCAUGGAUCUGUAUAAAUGGUGAUAUAAUGAUUAUGGAAGACCCCCCCAUCCAAAAAAUCCAAGGUCGAAAGAAGAUAAUCGGAUUCUAUAGCAGUAAUAACAAAGUGCAAUCACCUUGCUCGUAUAAGAUUACUAUAAUAAAUCUGACGUAUAAAGUUACGUUAAAACUAGAGGCAAAUAAAUUCGCCUGGCACGAAUUUGCGGCGAAUCUCCGUGAUUCGUCGCCGGCGAAUAAAUUUGUGAAUUUUCCACAAAUUUCGGAUGCGGAUGCAAAAUCGGCGUGUCAACACUAUUCAAACGCCCAUUGACUUUAAUGCCAGCAUCAGCUUGGACACGGGCGUCAAUUUCCAAUUUUCAGGAUUUUUCGUAAAAAUGGCAGAUUUUCACAAUUUUCCCAUGAAUUAUUUGCCGUUUCGCAAAUUUCACGAUUUUUGCAGGAAAUUCACAAAUUUUUUGGCGAAGCCAAACGGUUGAAAUUCGCCCAUCACUAGUUAAAGCGUAUGCAACUGACGUAACUUCCACAAAAAUGGCUUAACUUGCAUAGAAGUAACUAUGCUAUGUAACUUACAUAAAAGCUUGUGUAAGUUACGUAUCAAGCAAUGGAUACAUAGAAGCUUAAAAGUAGCAGCAGGUGUAAACUACACUGACCACCAAUAAAUUAAAAAGCUUAAUGUCAAUUCCACUGCUCCCAAUAAACUGGCUGGCUUAUUAGCACAUUAAUUAAUUAUGUUUACUAUUUUUUGUGAUUGUGAUUUUUGUGCCAAACUAUUAUGACACCCUCAUAUAAGCCUUAAAAGUGUGUGAUGGACAAAUAAUAUCCAUAAUUCUAUACAGUAACUGUCUGAUGAAGUAUAUUAGAUUGCAAAAUGCUAAUUUGUAUUCUUAUUUGUGUUCUGUUUAUGACUUGUAUUACAUUUCCCUCAAAAAGUCUAUAUGAUUGGGUUACAAUUUAACUCAACAUGUACAUUAAAAUACUGGCCUGUAUUAAGCAAUCAUAAAAAAAUUAAAUCUCUGUUACCUACAGGUCUUUUUUAUUAUACUUUCUACUGUCUGGGAAGAUAAUUUAACUGCAAUAGACUUAACAGCGUUGUUUGCCUUUGCAGUUGGUUUUAAUUUUUUAUUAUUUGUGAUUUUUGCGUUAUUUAGCUUUUUGUUCAACAGCUCUCUAGAUUUCCAUUUUAGUAGUCUGGUUGCUGGGGUACAAAUGACCCU